GGGCAGUUAGCUCAGCGGUAGAGCACUUCCUUGACAUGGAAGGGGUCACAAGUUCGAUCCUUGUACCGCCCA
rnacentral:tRNA from 1 species